UAUGGUAUGGUUGUCACAUUUUUCCUCUUUACCUGUCAUACGAUAGAAGUUUGAAAUGAUUUACCAUUCUUAAAUAAGAACAAAUUUAGAUAUGUUGAUUGUACACAAUGAAACCUAAAAGAAUAACUAAGCUUUACAAUGUUUACCGCUCGUUAUUUGUUUAGA